rnacentral:rRNA from 1 species
CUGCACCAACUGAGGCCUAUUAAGCGUGUUGCUUUUGAAGGGCCUGUAACAGGGAGGCGUUUCUAUGGCUGCCCAGUCCAGGAAAAUGGUGUGAAUUGUGGUGUUGCAGAGUGGGUUGAUGGGCCUUGGCCAACUGUUCUUCAGAGAUGUUUGUGCAAGCUAUGGGAGAUGUUCCAUGAGCAGAACUUUGGAAGGGUACAGGACAAGGAGAAGUUUGAGCAAGAGUUGGCCAGGCUUAAGACUGAAAAUGACAAGCUUUGCAUUGAGUACACCAAGCUUGUUGAUGAUGUAUCCAAUAUGUUUGAUUGGCAGGAUGGUAGGGUGGACAAGAAACAAGCAGAGGAGGAAGAACUUGAGAAGAAGAAGAAGGAGCUAGAGGAGAAAGCCAUGUUGGAGGUGCAGAUGGAAAAGCUCAAACUUGCAAAAGAGCAGAGGUGCAUUUUGCAGAGCCAAGCUGAUAUCAUCAAGAACACUAGGAAGGCUAUAAAGGAUGUUGAAGUUGACAGAGAUGUUCUUAAGAAGGAGAAGGCAAAGCUUGAGCUUGUUGUUGCUGAGCUGCUGAAUGAAGGGUAUGGCAGCAAGGAGAAGUUAGAGCAAAUCAAGGCCAUCCUUGAGUCUUGA